CGAUGAUCCCAGCUUGCUGGGGGAUUAGUGGCGAACGGGUGAGUAACACGUGAGUAACCUGCCCUUGACUCUGGGAUAAGCCUGGGAAACCGGGUCUAAUACUGGAUAUGACCUUCUGGCGCAUGCCAUGUUGGUGGAAAGCUUUAUUGCGGUUUUGGAUGGACUCGCGGCCUAUCAGCUUGUUGGUGGGGUAAUGGCCUACCAAGGCGACGACGGGUAGCCGGCCUGAGAGGGUGGACGGCCACACUGGGACUGAGACACGGCCCAGACUCCUACGGGAGGCAGCAGUGGGGAAUAUUGCACAAUGGGCGCAAGCCUGAUGCAGCGACGCCGCGUGGGGGAUGAAGGCCUUCGGGUUGUAAACCUCUUUCAGUAGGGAAGAAGCGAAAGUGACGGUACCUGCAGAAGAAGCGCCGGCUAACUACGUGCCAGCAGCCGCGGUAAUACGUAGGGCGCAAGCGUUAUCCGGAAUUAUUGGGCGUAAAGAGCUCGUAGGCGGUUUGUCGCGUCUGCCGUGAAAGUCCGGGGCUUAACUCCGGAUCUGCGGUGGGUACGGGCAGACUAGAGUGAUGUAGGGGAGACUGGAAUUCCUGGUGUAGCGGUGAAAUGCGCAGAUAUCAGGAGGAACACCGAUGGCGAAGGCAGGUCUCUGGGCAUUAACUGACGCUGAGGAGCGAAAGCAUGGGGAGCGAACAGGAUUAGAUA
rnacentral:rRNA from 1 species